rnacentral:rRNA from 1 species
UACGAAGGGGGCUAGCGUUGCUCGGAAUCACUGGGCGUAAAGCGCACGUAGGCGGCUUUUUAAGUCAGGGGUGAAAUCCUGGAGCUCAACUCCAGAACUGCCUUUGAUACUGAGAAGCUUGAGUCCGGGAGAGGUGAGUGGAACUGCGAGUGUAGAGGUGAAAUUCGUAGAUAUCGGAAGGAACAUCAGUGGCGAAGGCGACUUCCUGGACCAAUACUGACGCUCAGGUGCGAAAGCGUGGGGAGCAAACAGG